AACGAACGCUGGCGGCAUGCCUAACACAUGCAAGUCGAACGAGACCUUCGGGUCUAGUGGCGCACGGGUGCGUAACGCGUGGGAACCUGCCCUUAGGUUCGGAAUAACUCCCCGAAAGGGGUGCUAAUACCGGAUAAUGUCUUCGGACCAAAGAUUUAUCGCCUUUGGAUGGGCCCGCGUUGGAUUAGCUAGUUGGUAGGGUAAAAGCCUACCAAGGCGACGAUCCAUAGCUGGUCUGAGAGGAUGAUCAGUCACACUGGGACUGAGACACGGCCCAGACUCCUACGGGAGGCAGCAGUGGGGAAUAUUGGACAAUGGGCGAAAGCCUGAUCCAGCAAUGCCGCGUGAGUGAUGAAGGCCUUAGGGUUGUAAAGCUCUUUUACCCGGGAUGAUAUUGACAGUACCGGGAGAAUAAGCGCCGGCUAACUCCGUG
rnacentral:rRNA from 1 species